GGUGCCCUGCUGUGAUCGUGAUGCGCGUAGAGUUUUGAGCCAACACCUUCACAUCGGGAGCCAAUCUUGUAGCGGAGUUGCUCGCUGAAGUGAGUGAGCUAUUUCCGCCAGUAGGCACCCACCUGCGUAAGCAGGUUCAAAACCCGCACACACACGGCAUAGCGGGGCCUUG
rnacentral:other from 1 species